GAUGAAGAACGUAGCGAAAUGCGAUAAGUAAUGUGAAUUGCAGAAUUCAGUGAAUCAUCGAAUCUUUGAACGCACAUUGCGCCCGCCAGUAUUCUGGCGGGCAUGCCUGUUCGAGCGUCAUUUCAACCAUCAAGCCCUGCUUGCGUUGGGGUCCUGCGGCUGCCCGCAGGCCCUGAAAACCAGUGGCGGGCUCGCUAGUCACACCGAGCGCAGUAAUACAUCUCGCUUUGGGCGUGCGGCGGGUUCUUGCCGUUAAACACCCCCUUUUUACCAAGGUUGACCUCGGAUCAGGUAGGUAUACCCGCUGAACUUAAGCAUAUCAAUAAGCGGAGGA
rnacentral:misc_RNA from 1 species